GAUCCUGGCUCAGAUUGAACGCUGGCGGCAUGCCUUACACAUGCAAGUCGAACGGCAGCACGGGUGCUUGCACCUGGUGGCGAGUGGCGAACGGGUGAGUAAUACAUCGGAACGUACCUUAUCGUGGGGGAUAACGCAGCGAAAGCUGUGCUAAUACCGCAUACGCCCUGAGGGGGAAAGCGGGGGAUCGAAAGACCUCGCGCGAUUAGAGCGGCCGAUGCCUGAUUAGCUUGUUGGUGGGGUAAAAGCCCACCAAGGCGACGAUCAGUAGCUGGUCUGAGAGGAUGAUCAGCCACACUGGGACUGAGACACGGCCCAGACUCCUACGGGAGGCAGCAGUGGGGAAUAUUGGACAAUGGGCGCAAGCCUGAUCCAGCAAUUCCGCGUGGGUGAAGAAGGUCUUCGGAUUGUAAAGCCCUUUCGACGGGGACGAUGAUGACGGUACCCGUAGAAGAAGCCCCGGCUAACUUCGUG
rnacentral:rRNA from 1 species